rnacentral:SRP_RNA from 1 species
UUUGGUUCCUCGCGCGGCAGUAACUCGCCCAACUCCCCCAGGGUCGGAAGGCAGCAAGGGUAAGUGAGCUCUUCUGGGUGCGCGAGGGGCCUUUUUU